rnacentral:rRNA from 1 species
UGGGGAAUCUUGCACAAUGGGGGAAACCCUGAUGCAGCGACGCCGCGUGAGCGAUGAAGCCCUUCGGGGUGUAAAGCUCUUUCGGCAGGGAAGAUUAUGACGGUACCUGCAGAAGCAGCUGCGGCUAACUACGUGCCAGCAGCCGCGGUAAUACGUAGGCAGCGAGCGUUGUUCGGAGUUACUGGGCGUAAAGGGUGUGUAGGCGGUUGUUUAAGUUUGGUGUGAAAUCUCCCGGCUCAACUGGGAGGGUGCGCCGAAUACUGAAUGACUAGAGUGCGGGAGAGGAUAGUGGAAUUCCUGGUGUAGCGGUGAAAUGCGUAGAUAUCAGGAGGAACACCGGUGGUGUAGACGGCUAUCUGGACCGUAACUGACGCUGAGGCACGAAAGCGUGGGUAGCAAACA